UCCAGAGGCAAGCACAAUAUUCCAGAGGAACUCUCAAACAGAUGUUGUAGAAAUAAGAAGAAGCAACUGUACAAACCAUGUAUCUACUGUGCGUUUCAGUCAACAAUACAGCUUGUGUUCGACAAUAUUCCUUGAUGACAGCACAGCCAUCAGCAUUAUCUUACAAUGACAAUAAUAUCUGUGACCUUGGAGAUACCUCAUCAUAUCACACAAAGAGAUGCAGAUAGAUCUUUGAAGCAUGCCCUGUUUAAUGGGGAUGGCUCUGCCGCUCCCGAUGGUGUCAGCAUGAUUCUCCGGGGCUUUCCUCUCUUUGUCUGGGUCACUCCCUUUCUCAGAUGUAAACAGGUUGGACCAGCGCAUGGACCGCUUGCAAACGGGGGUGGGUGUGUUGGCAGUGGGAGGAACACUGAACUGAGGGUCCUCCUGGCUGGUGCUGGGAGUCGAUGGAAUGGAGGAGGAAUAGUUAUUUAAACUCCCACCUCCAUUUCUUUUCUUCAUAAUGUGCACGGUGGAAAC
rnacentral:lncRNA from 1 species